CCCUCCUUCCCCUCUAGCUCUAUAAAGUUGGUUGCAUCAUAGAUAACAUACGCUAGUGUGGUCCUUAUUGAGAACUUGUUCAUUGGUAUGGGCAUUGCUUCUUACUUCACUUCACAGAUUUUCUCUCCAUUCCUUUCUUUAUUGUUUCAUCCAUUAGCUUCCUUCCCAACAACCCAAUUUCUUCUUAUCCUCUUUGGAGACUCACAAGUGAUGGAGAUUUUGAAUAUAAUUCUACUAGGUUUUAUAUGAAGUCCUGUCAUGCUUUUCCACAGCUUUCUUGAACUUUUUUCUGCUGAAUUUUCAUCUUUGCUAAUUAUUGAGCAGUUAAUAUUACUAUAGAAAAUAGCUAAUUUUCCGAUUUAUGCGUGAAUUUUGGCUCAUCGGUAAAGAGUUUUCGACACAAGAUAUGUCAGAAAUGGUACAUACAAAACAAAUUCAUACAGAUUCCGUCAAAAAUUAGCUAUUUUCUGGCAGUGGAUGAGAUUAAGCUAUGAAAGUUCAAGAAAGUUGUGGGAAAAUAUGGUGAAGUUAGGACUUCUUGAGUGCAUUGCCAUUUCCUGGAGGAUGAUUGGUUCAUCAUUUUGCUAUAUAGCCCAUGGUCAAUUCUUGAAUCUGCCUUAGAAUUUUACUUUUGUUUCUUCUUUUAGAUGCAGAUAAAUGAGACAACUUCUACGAAUUUGGUAUAAUCCACGGGGAUUAUGCCAGUCAAGAAAGCAGAUCCAUUUCUGGAUAUUUGAUUUCUUUCCUUUUGGGUUGAAAGUUUUUUCUUCACAGUAAGGAAAGAUUGACAACUUAUAUAUUAAUUAUCAAGAAAUCUGUUUGAUAUUCAAAAACUGCUCAGCAAUAGUCCGACGACCUUGGUUUUGACGCCCUCCUCAGGACAGGGAUGGAUAUGGACUUUAAGUUGCAAAUUUGACAAAAGCAAGUAGCUUUGAUCCGAAUCAUGUAUAUAUGUUAAGAAACUCACUAAAGGCAGGGCAGCCUGGUGCACAAUGUAUCUCUAUUUAGCUGUCGGGGGAAGAGCCACACCUCAAAGGAUGUGAUGUAAGCAGCCUAACCUAAUGCAAAUAUUAGCGAUUGCUUUCA